rnacentral:rRNA from 1 species
GACGAACGCUGGCGGCGUGCUUAACACAUGCAAGUCGAACGGAAAGGCCCUGCUUUUGUUGGGUGCUCGAGUGGCGAACGGGUGAGUAACACGUGAGUAACCUGCCCUUGACUUUGUGAUAACUUCAGGAAACUGGGGCUCAUACCGGAUAGGAUCUCCUGCUGCAUGGUGGUGGUUGGAAAGUUUCGGCUGUUGGGGAUCGACUCGCGGCUUAUCAGCUUGUUUGUGGGGUAGUGGCUUACCAAGGCUUUGACGGGUAGCCGGCCUGAGAGGGUGACCGGCCACAUUGGGACUGAGAUACGGCCCAGACUCCUACGGGAGGCAGCAGGGGGGAAUAUUGCACAAUGGGCGGAAGCCUGAUGCAGCAACGCCGCGUGCGGGAUGACGGCCUUCGGGUUGUAAACCGCUUUCGCCUGUGACGAAGCGUGAGUGACGGUAAUGGGUAAAGAAGCACCGGCUAACUACGUG